AAUAUGUCUGGUUUGGUCAAGCUUAUGGAAAAACACUAACAUUCAUAAUGUAAAACCAAUACGUUAAAUCAAUUAUGAAAUACAGUUUCAUGCCAGUGUAGUAUAUACGUAUAUGUAACAAGAAGAAGAAGAAUCCGAUGGACCAAUAAUACAAGAAGAAGGGAAAAGAGGAAAUGGAAAAGCUUGCAUGUUUGUUUACUGUAGGGCAGACGAUGCCAAACUUGUCCUAGCAGGAGUACUACUAUAUUG
rnacentral:lncRNA from 1 species